GACGAACGCUGGCGGCGUGCUUAACACAUGCAAGUCGAACGGAAAGGCCCUGCUUUUGUGGGGUGCUCGAGUGGCGAACGGGUGAGUAACACGUGAGUAACCUGCCCUUGACUUUGGGAUAACUUCAGGAAACUGGGGCUAAUACCGGAUAGGAGCUCCUGCUGCAUGGUGGGGGUUGGAAAGUUCCGGCGGUUGGGGAUGGACUCGCGGCUUAUCAGCUUGUUGGUGGGGUAGUGGCUUACCAAGGCUUUGACGGGUAGCCGGCCUGAGAGGGUGACCGGCCACAUUGGGACUGAGAUACGGCCCAGACUCCUACGGGAGGCAGCAGUGGGGAAUAUUGCACAAUGGGCGGAAGCCUGAUGCAGCAACGCCGCGUGCGGGAUGACGGCCUUCGGGUUGUAAACCGCUUUCGCCUGCGACGAAGCGUGAGUGACGGUAAUGGGUAAAGAAGCACCGGCUAACUACGUG
rnacentral:rRNA from 1 species